rnacentral:lncRNA from 1 species
GAACUGUAGGUUUAGUGACUUAAUGAAAGGUCCCCCUUCUGUUUGAGAUACUGGAGUAUGGCUAGAUAGUUCAGGUUAGUAGAAUACCUUUUUGUUGUCAAGGCUUCAUAUUAUUUAUGAGUAAAGUUUGUUUUAUUCAUUUUCUUGCAGAUUCACUCAGCUGAAGUGAGGUCUUUGUUUUGGGGCUUUUGGGAAUGGAAGAGAAGAUGUUACAAAGACUAGAACAUAGCUGCCUCAUUCCUCCUGGUCUAGCCCAAGAUAUUGUACUUGGUGGUGCUUUGAAUUCAGAAGGAAAAAUUGACUUACACACCACAUUGACUCUAUUGGCAUUUUCUCCCCAGAAGGCAGUGGAUUGUUUUUCAGAGCUCCAAAGGACAUGUGUGCGAUCGCGUUACCUGCCUUCACUGACUUCAUGUGUGGAGAGGGAGUGGAGAGGGCCAAUACUACCUUAACACAGAUGUAAUUAUGUGGUAGAUCCAGAACAAUAUUCACAUAUGUUCAGUGGAGGAAUGAGACUGAGAGGAAAGCAAGA